GCAGCCUCCGCGGGAGCAUGCCGCCUCCCGCAGGGCCCGCCGCGAGCUUCCGGGGCCCAAGGAACCAGUCCGGAGGGGCGCAGGCGGUGGUCGCAGCGUCCCCCUAAAUGGCCGGCCACGAACCCGUCUCACGGUCCCGCGGCCAGGAGCCGCCGCUCAUCUGUCUCUGCAGCCACCGCUGAGGAAGAGUCUCCUCUGAGGGGAGAGUCGGUCAUGGCAGCAGACGCCGGGAUGGCUCCGCGACUGCUACACCAGGCACUCCUGGGCCCGGGCAGCAGACCAGUCAGCCCUGUGGCUCCUCGGCGACCUCCAGCGGGCGCCCGGGGCCGGGAUGCAGGGCGCGCGGACAGAAACGAGACAGACAGCUCAGGCCCAGCAGCACGCAAGCUCCCGCGCCUUCCGCGACUGCCACACGCGCGGCGCGCGCGCACCCUACUUUUUCUCCGCCACCUGGGCCGUGAUUGGGCGCGACCUGGGCUCCUGGGUGCUCAUUGGCGCCGUGAAGUGCUCGUCACCGCCCCCUCCUGCCCCUUCAUGCAUGCGCGGAGGCCGCCUGCUAGCAAGGUUCCCACGUAACAUCACAUCAGACCCAAGGGCCCGUUCAUUGCAAGGCGAAGGAGGCAUGACAAUGGCACGUGACCAUGGGAUCACUGGUCCUGUCACAUUCUGCACCACCCAGAAGAUACUGGCUUGAACGAAGAGAAGAAAUGGGCUGUUGAAGGCGUAGCUGAGAUGCCAGCUCAGAGACGAUGAUACCAAGUGCUGAACCUGAGAGCAGCCCCAGUACACUCCCUGCAUGGGAAUCUCCAUCUCAAAGUCAGCCUCCAGGGAGCCCGCCCUGAAACAGAUUCUGUCAUGGAACUCAACAGAGUAUCCUGGUGCGGAUAACCAGUGUUGGGAGUUAGAGCACGGACUCUCUCCACCUGCACGGUGCUGGAGCUCUGCACACCCCCUCUGCAGCCAUCCCUCGCCGCUGUCCCUUAGCUGACGCCCUUGCCCUCUGUGUGUCCUUCCUCAUGGCCUGCAGGUUUCAGAUCCCAAGCUACAGAUCAUGUCUUCUAGUCUGGGCUCUGGCAGAGAGUUCGGAAGCACUCUUAUUAUCUUAGCAGCAGCAUGUGUGGAAAUCAUUUCUCAUUACAGCGGAGGGCAGGCAUUGUGCAGAGGGUUAAGUGGGCCUGCUUGAAGUUGGUUGUUGUUAGCUCUCAUGUCUAUGCCUUGGUCCCUUUCCCCUCAGGACUUGGAGAGCAAGCUGUUUGAGUCUGAUGCAACCCCUGGGCUUUGACUAUCAUGCCAAAAGGCAGCAAAUAAGUGCCUUUUCUUCCCUUCAGAAUACAUGGACAAUCCAAAGCUCUAUUAGUCUAUUAUUCAGAAUGAAAAGUGUUUACAAUAUUCGUCCUCUUACUCCUCAGUAUGUGAGACUGUUCCUCGUAGCAGGUAAUUUCUUCCGAAUUCAAAAACUCCUCAUGGAAGCAUCUGUUUUUGUCAUCAAGGAGGGGGCUGUAUGUGGAAUUGCAAGGCCAAAGACAUCUCGGGUCAACUCUUCUCAGGACCAGAUCCAAGUCGCCAGUGAGAACACACAUUCAGGCAGCCUCCACCAGCGCCCUGCCUCAGGAGCGAGGCUCCCUGCUUCAUGUGGGCAAGAGCUGCCCUUGUUUUCCCAGCGGGCAGUUGGGGGUCUGGAGCCUAGGAAGCAAAGUGAAGCACACACUCCUGCUUCCUUCCUUCCCUGCAGUUGAGACGGGAGUCUUACUUUGUUGCCCAGGCUGGUCUCAAACUCCUGGCUUCAAGCAAUCCUUCCACUUUGGCCUUCCAAAGUGCUGGGAUUACAGGCAUGAGCCACCAUGCCCAGCCUCCUUCUCUUACUAGCUGAGAACUAAGAGAAGACACUCUGGAGACAGAGGAGGAAACAGUGACGAUGCCACAUGAUGAAUACAUAAUGGAGGGUGAAGACAAGGCUCCGUCAGGGGCACCAAGGAGGGAAACCCAGUUCUGUGGGGAAGGUAUGGGGCAGCUUCACAAGCCCAGUGUCUGCUCCCUUUGUGGGAGACGUGUUGUUUCAGCAUCCAUUCCCCCUUCUUUUAGGAAAAGUGCUUGAAUUUCCUUUUCAUGGAACCACCCACCUCCCUCUCAUCCAUGCAUUCUAUUCCCAGUAUCAGGGGUAGACAAGUGACUUCAGGCUUGGCCAAUUAGGGUUCUGACUCUUGGUCAAAUCAGAGUGAAUCCUGAGUCAUUUGUAAACUCCAAGGAAAGGGCUUGCUUUGUUUUCUGUUGAAUGCAGUGCUCUGAGAUAGCCGGAAAUGAAACUGCUCUCUUGCCACACUGAAGGCUAGAGAAGGGCCUGGCCAGGAAAUGAUGCCAGUGAUCAGGGGUGGAGCUGGAAGAGGGGGAGUGAGGAGGCCCAGACAUCUUGGGAGCCCCAAAUUCACCUCAGGAUUUAACUUCUCCGCUGCUCAGCCAAUAAAUUCCUUUCUUCCAUGACUAAU
rnacentral:lncRNA from 1 species